CAGGGAUGUAGGACAAAUGUGGAGGUGUUGGGUGUCACUGUGGGAAGGACUCCACCAUGUGACCUCUCCAACUGCCACCCGAACUUCUCCCUCCCUGUUGCCACCCUGCAAAGUGCCAGCAAGAGGCAGCUGGCUUGGCCCGCUCUGCUGCCCUAGAGGUUGGUGGUCCUGCAUGUGGCUCUGGCUCCCUGGGAGAAAAUGGAGGCAGCACAGGCCUGCUGGGCUGCCAGCAAAGGGCAGUGAUGGGAUGCUGAAUGGGGGCUCAAGGAGCCCCAUCUCCAGGCCCCCAGGGAUGGGUGCAGUGCAUAUGCCCUGCAAGGACGGGCUGGGAAGGGCUCGCAGGCAAGUGGAGGCCCGAGCGCUGUAGCCAGGAGGGCGACCGGAGCCCCAGGCUGUCUCCUCUGCCACGUCCCCCCUUCCCGUGGCUGUGGCCUGACAGAGAGCAUUUCCCCUUCCCGUGGCUGUGGUCUGACAGAGAGCAUUUCCCACACGCACCUCCUCGUAGGGAAGGCUAGGGAACCCGUGUCAGAGGGUGGAGGAGGGCCCCUCGGCCAGGAGAGGGCGCCACUAGGGCCUCUACUUCUGUACUGUGCUGAGGCUUUGGAACUGCUGGGCUGCAGGCCCCAGGGGACACAGGCUGGGUUGGUUAUGGCUUCUGGUGUGAAGAGCGAUGGCUGGUCCUCUUGUUUGCACGGUGCCUGCCCCUCAGACCCCCAUUCGGGAUGGGCCAGGGCUCCAGAGCCUUGCCUUGCUGGGCCCCAAGCCUUCCUGGCCCUGCUAGGCCUUUCUCCUGCACUCAUCAGGGGAAGACUCCUAGGGUCACUUCUCAACCCCAGCCAGAGCAGAGGGAGCACUGUCAGAGUUCUGGGCCUCUGCUCUGUGCCGGGCACUGGGCCCACCGGACAAGGGGCCUGCCAUCUUGGAGGAGGCCCUGUCAUGGAGGGAUGGGCUUACUCGGAUGGUCAGGAUCAUCUGCGUGGGGAAAGUAGCAGGAGAACCAGCACCAGCCUUCCAGAGGGAAUCGCACUCGUUCAGAGACUCAACCGAUCCUUCCAGCCCAGGCCCGCGGCCAGAUCAUCACUGCAGAGUUGGACGCCAGCUCUGGCUGCCCUGACACAGGGUGCAAUUUGGCCUCCGGCCAGCAGGCGGCACCGUGGUCACGUCUUUCCACAUCCAUGAGCCCUACCCCUUGUUCCUUCAGCACCUGGGGCAGCAGCUUAAAACCAUUCCUCUCCUACACCAUCCCCCAAAAUCCUCCCUGAGGAAGUCCUCGCUUGGGGGAGAGGUCCUGCCCUGCCCAUCUGGGAGCCGGCAGAGAGGGAGCCUUAGGUCAAGUGGAGGUGGCACCCUUUCUUCAUCCCUUCCAGACCUUCCCAUCCAAGGGGUCAGCUUGUGAGAGGAAAGCUUUGGGUCACUCAGGCUGUGGGAUGUGUGGGCUGGGAGAGAGAAGGGACUGGUUCAGGCAAAGGCAAGAGAUGGGGGGUGAAGAGGGAGCUGAGGGGGCACCGUGAGAGCAUUUCGGGCUCAGAGAACAGCAGGUGCUCAGGCACCGACGUGGUCUGCUGGAGGCACUGGGCUGACCGGAGCCUGGCAGGGUGAGAUUGGGCCUUCAUCUCUGAGCAACAGCACGCCACUGGUGGGAGUGUAGCUGGAGUACGCCCUUAUCCAGUCUGGGGUAGGUGCUGAGCUUGGGCAGUUGGAAAACUCAGGCGCUGUGAGUCAGCAGCAGAGUCCAGCGACUGGCCUUGCUGGGUGUCAGGGACCAUACCAGAAUUGAGGGGGGGAGCCCUUGUGGGCAUCUGGAGAGGAAGCUGUCUUCCUAGCUCUGGGCCACACAGGGUUAGCCACACACUCCGUGUUGGAUCAAACGUGUGGGUAGCAGGGGUUCUGGGGAUGCUCAACCUGUGGGGCCACACUGGGGACAAGGAGAUGGGGG
ensembl:lncRNA